UUUUUUUUUAAAUCAGAUUUUAAAUUUUGGAUUUAUGGGGCUUUAUUCAUAGAAAAAAGAGGGGAUUUUCAACACUUCGGACAAUAACUCAAAAAGGCUUUCACCAAUGUCCAUGAAACUUUGGUGAAUUGUUUAUAUCUAUUGAUGUAAGCUCCCUUUCAAUUUUUAUAAAUUUCAGAUUUUAAGUUUUGGAUUUAUGGGGCUUUAUUCAUAAAAAAAAGGGGGAUUUUCAACACUUCGGACAAUAACUCAAAAAGGGCUUUCACCAAUGUCCAUGAAACUUUGGUGAAUUGUUUAUAUCUAGUGAUGUAAGCUCCCUUUCAAUUUUUAUAAAUUUCAGAUUUUCAGUUUUGGAUUUAUGGGGCUUUAUUCAUAAAAAAAAGGGAUUUUCAAC
rnacentral:lncRNA from 1 species